AUACAAGACAGCAGGUUUCAAAGACAAUGGUGGUUGUUGGUCAGAUUAAAGGGUUCACUAUCUCAUUAGUUUAUGCGAUCCAACUGGAGACUUGUUUGUGUAUUUUUCAUCUUUGAUGUUUGAAACUAUUGUAGUAUGAGUUCGACGAAGAGGACAUUAUCGGAGCAGGAGCGUAUGGUCAUGUGUUUAACGGUACUCAUACUCCAACUAAGAAAUCGGUGGUGCUGAAGCGUAUUCAGCUAAAGGAAGAUGCUGAAUUUACUGUUUCCAUGCUUUGAGAGUGCUAUAUUCAUAUGGAGCUUAAGCACCCCAACAUACUCGGGUUGGAUUGUGUUUUAGUCUCUGCUGGUUGCCUCUACUUGGUUUUAGAGUAUAUGAACUGGGAUUUGAGGGUGGAACUUGCAGCGAACAAAGAAAAGUACAAGGAUGGGAAAAGAGUAAACAAAUUCAUGAAAAGUCUUCUGUCUGGGCUAGCAUUUUGCCAUUCACAUGACAUUUUGCAUCGAGAUAUAAAGCCCUGCUAGUCUCUGGUGACGAGUUGAAGAUUGCAGACUUUGGAUCUGCCAUUCACUACCCAUAGUUCUACCAGUGAUAGUCCCAGUCUUACUCCAGCUUUGUAUCUCUUCCUUCCGUUCUUGCAAUUGAAAAAAAAAAAAGAUUGUUUGAUUAACUCUGUGUGUGUGUGUGUGUCUAUCUCUCUCUCCCUCAACAACCCCCCGGGCAGGUUGUGACAGUUGACUACAGAGCACCAGAAGUCUUGCUGGGUUCUACUGUCUACUCAAAAGCAGUUGACAUAUGGGCUGCAGGUUGUAUACUUGGUGAAAUGUUGAGCCUGACUCCUCUUUUUGGUCUUGAUGUGGACGCUGAAUAUGAAUCUGUGCUGGAAUGUGAGAAGGAAGUUCUUGGAAAAAUUUUCAGGUUACUGAUCAGAUGAUUAUAGGUUUUUGGGUACCCCGGAGGAAAACAACUGGCCUGCACUGUCAAAAUUAAAGUUUUCUGACCACUUUCAGUUCCCUGGAGACGAACCACUGGGCUUGGAAAAGUUGGUUCCAGGACUAGAUGCUCUCCCAGAUGCAAAAGAUCUUCUGUCGAAGCUGCUGUGCCUGAACCCUCAAGCUAGAAUUUCAGCUGAAGAUGCUUUGAAGCACCCUUACUUUUCAGACGCUGCUGAGCCUAAAUCCUCAAGCUAGAAUUUCAGCUGAAGAAGCACCCUUACUUUUUCCGGGGUCUGAGUUUAGAUUAGAAAACAUCUUGGAUAUAACUACAUGGCCACAUCUCUAUUAGCAAAAUAGUGUUACUUUGAUAUUGCUAAUAUUAGGGCUUCUUGGGCAAACAGAAAUGUUGCUGAUACUAAUAGUAGGGUAUUGUGGGCAAACUGAAAAGAGAUACAGUUAAGCUCGCUUCUCAGGUAUGGAUUGGCUUGCGGACACGAGAGUAGUUUUGAGUACGUUUUAGUUCAGUUCUUAUAUUGAUAUUGAUGUUCAUAGCUAUCCUCUGAUUUCAGCAGUUCUCAUUUUGUCGGUAAUAGUACUCUGCCCAUGUUAAAGACCUAAGCUUCCUCACAUUGUAGAAUGCAGACUUCCAUUUUGGUGGCUUUCUUAGAUUA